UACGUAGGGUGCGAGCGUUAAUCGGAAUUACUGGGCGUAAAGCGUGCGUAGUCGGUUAUUUAAGUCGGAUGUGAAAUCCCCGGGCUCAACCUGGGAAUUGCAUUCGAUACUGGAUAGCUAGAGUUCGGCAGAGGGAAGCGGAAUUUCUGGUGUAGCGGUGAAAUGCGUAGAUAUCAGAAGGAACAUCAGUGGCGAAAGCGGCUUCCUGGACCAGAACUGACGAUCAGGCACGAAAGCGUGGGGAGCAAACAGG
rnacentral:rRNA from 1 species